GAUGAACGCUGGCGGCGUGCCUAAUACAUGCAAGUCGAGCGAAGCGGGGACGGGUGAGUAACACGUGGAUAACCUCCUAUAAGACUGGGAUAAAUUCGGGAAACCGGAGCUAAACCGGAAUCUUAUCGAUGGAUCCACGCUGCAUUAGGUAGUUGGUAAGGUAACGGCUUACCAAGGCAACGAUGCAUAGCCGACCUGAGAGGUUGCUCGGCCACACUGGAACGGAGACACGGUCCAGACUCCUACGGGAGGCAGCAGUAGGGAAUCUUCCGCAAUGGGCGAAAGCCUGACGGAGCAACGCCGCGUGAUUGAUGAAGGCCUUCGGAUCGUAAAACUCUUUUAUUAGGGAAGCGGUACCUAAUCAGAAAGCCACGGCUAACUACGUGCCAGCAGCCGCGGUAAUUC
rnacentral:rRNA from 1 species